GACAGAUUAGUGCAUUAAAAAGGUGUUUUGCAGCAUCUUGAACAUGCUAGUGAAAGCCCAUUUCCAUUGGCUCCCUUUAUAGUUUUCCAGCUUCUGAAGCCUACCACAGACUCCUGUGAGCAGCCAUCCCUAUCUCCAAGGGUUGUUUGGUAAUGUUCUGUGUCUUUUUCCAGCACACACAAUCUCUUUUUGGGAGAUAGGUAAGCUUAUCUUCAAGAAAAGACCUGCAUUAGUAAGGUAAGAGAAGAUUGGAUUCUACUAUUGGAAUGAAGAUAAUUAAUAUUCAUCUCUGAAAGACAGAGGUGGAUGUGAGGAUGAUAAAACUGGUGUGCAAGACUGGAGAAACUGGUGCUGAAUAACUCAUGAAGAGAAUCCUGGGAUUUAGUAAUGACAUUGGGAAAUUUAAUUUCUUGCAUGAACCGUUCCCUGCAAACAGAGAAUAAGGUCCCAUCAAUUCCCCCUGGUAUGAGCACAAAGAAUAGCUCCCAGCAGUCUGUCACACUUGGGACAAAUGCAGGAUUAAUAUUGUGGUUUGUGUUGGCCUGUGCCAUGCCUUCCUCAUUGUCCCCUGAACCUCCAGGGGAUGGGAAUGUCUUAUUAAUUAAUUCUCUUAAUUCAAGCACCUGUGACUGAUUUAUACUCAGUCUAGGGUCUGAUCCUGCAGGGCAAGAGCUGACUUUGGUGAGGUGCACUGCUUUCCAAAUCCCCAGCAGAGGAAAAUUACUGGAUUUUAUGCUGAAACAGAAGCAGCGAGAGUAUUUGGAAAACCUCUGCUGGCUUUUCCCCAGCAUAGCUAAGGCAUGGCAUUUGUUACUCAUUGGUGCUACAGACUCACAACUCAGCCAAAAUUCACCUUCUAGGGAUGUAUAUAUGCUUGGUUUCAUCCAUGGGUGACAGCAUGAUCUGGAAGAAGAGGGGAGAAAAUGAAGUCAGGAGGAGAAGGGGAUUUGCUGUUCAAGGAGGCAGGGGAUGAAUCAUCCUUCUCACAGAGACGUGGUCUUUUGCCAAAGGCUUCAGCUGGUCCCCACCAGCUCUUUCAGCUUGGUGUGCUCUGUCCUCAGCUCUGCUGCAGUGGCCAGCCUGCUUCUAAUGCAGGAAACAGUUUGUCCUGGGAACAGUCCUAGCAAGGGCAUGCAUGCCCACAUCAAGGGCAGGCUGACAUUGUGGUCUCAUGGCUCUCUUUCAGGUGGUACCACAGCACGGGGUUAUACCUGGGAACGCAGUGGACACACAAACGGAGCCAGCAGCCAGGGUUUGGUGGUCCCUGGACAGAGAGCAGGAUUGCUCAGUGGUGUGUCCCAAGUGCUCCAAGCAGAAGUGAGCAGCUUUAAGGAAUGGUGGAAGUCUUAGCUAUCUGUGUACUGGGAAAAUGAAGCAUUUGGGUAAAUAUAAUAUAUGGCUUCUGUUGGAAAAGUUAUUCUCUCUGAGAAAUGCCUUAUAAGAGAGCUACAAUGCGAGGGGAAGCUCUAAACAUGUGUGCUCCCAGAUGUUUGGAGUGGAAAGGCAGAAAGCACCACUGAAAAGGCUGAAGACCCACCACUCAUGCCCUGAAGGCCACUGUUACCAUCUGAGUGACCACACUAUGCCAAGAAGAGCAAAGUACAGAAUUAAGGUAAGAAUGGAAAGAUUCCAUGACAUACAGAUUUUAUAGGCAGUGUCAUUCAGCAGGUCAAAUUUUAAUUAAGUCUUGGGUCGUGGCAUCUCAGCUAUUCAGUAUUUUAAAAUUUGCCAGAUCUUUCUGGGAGCACACAGCUGCAAAUCAUGCUGGUUUGUUCCUACUGU
ensembl:lncRNA